rnacentral:rRNA from 1 species
UACGAAGGGGGCUAGCGUUGUUCGGAUUUACUGGGCGUAAAGGGCGCGUAGGCGGAUUUUUAAGUCAGGGGUGAAAUCCCAAGGCUCAACCUUGGAACUGCCUUUGAUACUGGGGAUCUUGAGUCCGGGAGAGGUGAGUGGAACUGCGAGUGUAGAGGUGAAAUUCGUAGAUAUUCGCAAGAACACCAGUGGCGAAGGCGACUGACUGGACAGGUAUUGACGCUGAGGUGCGAAAGCGUGGGGAGCAAACAGG